CAUGGGGAGGGUACUAGGUCACGUAUCAAGAAUCAGAAUAUCCUCAGACUUCAUGGCAGAAACAUAGGAAUCAAGAAGACAGUAGUACAAUGCUGAAAUUCUGAAGGAAAAUGAUUACCAACCUAGAAUUCUAUAUGUAGCCAAAGUAUACACAGGAAUGAGUAUAAAGUCAUUUUCAGAAGCUAAAGAUUUAAAAAUUUUUACCUGUCACAUACCCUUUCUCAAGAAGCUACUGCAAGGAAUAUACCAUCAAACUUGAAAGGAUUAAAUCCAGAAGGAGUAAGACAUGAGAUACAGAAAACAGGAGACCCAGCGGGAAAAAAAUGAUAAGGGUUCACUUGGAGGAGGAUGAAAAGUGAUGCCAGGAUGACAGCUCUGCAUCACAUGUGGAGGGCAGCUGAGCCACACUGCAGCAGUGUUAGCCGGCACAUAGACUAUCAUCUCUAAGAUCCCCAAGUCCAUCAGGUCAUCCUUUUAACUGAGGAUAGGAUGCCCAGAAGAACUUGGCCCAUUUCUCAUCAGUACUUGGCUUGUCUUGAGUGUGUCUCUCCCUUCAUGCCUUACUGAGGACUCUCAUGGAGGUUUUAAUCUUUUCCUGGAGAGCAGGAGGUAGGCCACUGGGCUUAGAAGCAGAAGUACAGAGCAGCCUACUCUCCCUGACUGGGCUUCUCCUGCAUGUCCAGUGCCUGGUCAACUUGCUCUGUGUCUUGCCAGGCACCCAACUGUGGAAAGCCCUGUGUUUCCCAAGACUUACUCGUGACCUUGCUUGAAACUUCCUCAGUAGGGGCCUUGUCAACUUCUGCAGAAGCAGAAGUCAGACCCAUGACCCAAGAUUGUUCUGCUCACCUCCUUCUGGAGCCUCUGUUCGGUGAGAUCAGUGGUGCCCUCUCCUUGAGUUUGCUGGCCCAGUAUUUUCAGAACCACACAGUAUGUUGUUUGGUGAUAGAGUACAUGAGGGUUGUAGAACUAUUUUUAAAAACAACUAGUAGUUCCCUGGCAGCCUAGCAGUUAAGAACUUGGUGUUGUCACUGGGGUUUGAUCCCUGGCCUGGGAAUUUCCAGUGCCCAAAAAAAAAAAAAAAAAGCAAUUAGCAUAAAGUCAGGAUUCGUUAACCACUGCGCCACGACGGGAACGCCCACAAAAAAUUUUUAAUUGCAAAAGAAAAAUGUAAUAUGAGAAGGAUGUAUUGAACAAUAAUCUUGGAGAUAUAAACAUGUCAAAUCAUAAAAGCCUUCCAUACUUUAUUAUAUUAAGGUUCUCCAGAGAAACAGAACCAUUAGGAGACAUGAGAGAAGGGGAAUGGGGAGGUUGAUUGAUUUAUUAUAAUCAGUUGGCUAAUGCACCCAAUGACAGAGGCCAACAAGUUCCAAGAUCUGCAGCUGGCAAGCUGGAGGCCCAGGAGAACCAAUGCUGUAGUUCCGCAGUCUGAAUGUUGGCACACUCUAGACCCCAUGAAGAGCUAGUGUUCCAGUUUGAGUCCCCAGGCAGGGAAAAAACAACAACAAUGUCUUGGAAUUCCUUUGAGACUCAGCCUCUCAGUCUAUUAAGGAUCAGCAUUGUCACCAGGUGGGUUUGAUCCCUGGCCUGGGGACUUCCACAUGCUGCCGAUGUGGCCAGAAAAAAACGAAAACAAAAAAAGGUGUCUCAGCUCAAGGCAAUCCAGCAAGAGUUCCUUUUUACAUAGCCUUUUUGGAUCCAUCCAAAUCAGAAGGAUAAUGUGCUUUACUCAUUCUACAUGUAAAUAUUAACUUCAUCCAGAAACACCUUCACAGACACCCAGAAUAAUGUUUGACCACAUAUCUGGGCAUAUUUGAUGCACAGAAUCAACUGUUGCACAUAUCCUGGCAAGGAGUUUGCACUUUGAUUUUUCCUGUGUACUAUGGAGAACCAGUUCAAGGAUUUAUUUAUUUAUUUUAUUUUAUUUAUUUAUUUGUUUUUGUCUUUUUUGCCUUUUCUAGGGCUGCUCCCGUGGCAUAUGGAGAUUCCCAGGCUAGGGGUCUAAUCAGAGCUGUAGUUGCCGGCCUACACCAGAGCCACAGCAACGAGGGAUCCGAGCCGCAUCUGCAACCUACACCACAGCUCACGGCAACGCCGGAUCCUUAACUCACUGAGCAAGGGCAGGGAUCGAACCCGCAACCUCAUGGUUCCUAGUUGGAUUUGUUAACCACUGAGCCAUGACGGGAACUCCACAAAGAUUUAAAUAAUGGUAAACCAUGAAUAAAUUUGUGCCUUGUAUAAUGGUUGCAAUGUUGUGGAGGGCAGGUCGGGGAUGUGUGUGGGUGGUAGGACAGGGCUGUCAGCAGAGAGACCAGCUAGCAAGAAAUGAUGAGGAGGAGCAAGAAAGUGACAGUGUAGGAACAGAGGGGGCCAGAUUCCAGGGAGACUGAGGUGGUAAAGUGAAUGUGGUAUGGUGAUUGAUCAGAAUGUUGAGGAAGAGUAGGAGUGACGGAUGAAUCUAGAAUUUCUGAUUUUUGAGAUUCCUUUUCCUAAGCCCAGGUUAGGAGAGUCUCUUCCAAGCAGUGGAUUGCUAAGAAGUUGCCUUCAGCUUCAUUGAUCCCCUUUGCCGGGGUACCUGCAAAGGAAUGGCAGGGGGGGUCAGACGCAGAGUUAAUCCACCAUUAUGAAGUUAAUUUCUGUGUGUCCUGUGUACCAUAUAGUACCAGCCUCUGGUAUGGCAGGCAGUGAACCACCCCUGGGAGCUACGAAGCCUCAGGUGAAUAUUUGUAGAAACACCCCCCACCCCAAGGGAUUCUCAACUGUGCCUUCAAGGACUGUUAAGAUGUGAGCAGCUGUCACUCCUGUGUUCACUCCACACACAACAUACACUUCACACACUCUCUCUCUCUCUCUCUCUCUCUCUCUCUCUCUCUCUCUCUCUCUCUCUGAUACUGCUUCUGAGCUAUGCUGUAAAAGUUUUGAACAUAGUAACUUGGAAUGCUAGUUUUGUUGGGUUCCUCCCUCCCUCUUCCUCCCUUCCUUCCUUCCUUUUUUUCUUUAAAAUUUUAUGGCCUCACCCACAGCAUAUGGAAAUUCCUGGGCCAGGGAUUGAAUCCUAGCCUCAGCCAUGACCUAGGCCACAGCUGCUGCAACGCCAGAUCCUUUAAUCCACUGCUCAGGGCCGGGGAUCCACAGUGACCUGAGCUGCUGAAGUUGGAUUCUUAACCCACUGCACCACAGCAGGAACUCCUGCAUGUUUAUUUUUAAUGUGACUACACCUGGAGGGCUUGUACAAGUACAAGAAUACAAUUACUUGUACAAAGUUUUGUUAGAGCACUAAAGAAUGGAAUAAGGAACUUGACCAGGUUUGGGCUGAGUGAUCAGGGGAAAAAAAAUACUAUAGAGGAGUUGAUGUGUGAGCUGAACCUUAAAGGAUUAGUAGUAAGUCUCCAGAUGAAGGUAUAUUCUCAGUUCUGAAAGGAGUUCAGUUUAAGUCAGGGCCUCAAGGAAACAGCAGGGGAUUAAAAGGAGAAGCUUAUUGAGAGCAGAUCAAAUAGGCCUGAAUGUGCCUGUGAGUUAGGAGUUGCAACUUCAAGUGUGAGUGAGGGGGAAAUAAGGAAUUUUUUCUUUUCUUUUCUUGACAGCCUAUGGCAUAUGGAAUUACCUGGCCAGGGAUCAGAUCUGUACCACAGUUGCAACCUCUGCCAUAGUUUCAACAAUGCCAGGUGCUUUAACCCUCUAUGUUGGGCCAGGGAUUGAAUCUGUGUCCUGGCGCUGCAGAGAUGAUGCUGAUCCCAUUGUGCCACAGCAGGGACUCCAGGAAUUUUAAAUGGUUCAAAUAGUUUUAUAGAGCUCAUAUUGAAAGCAUCAUGAAGGGUGGGUUAGAACAGAGGGAGAAUGAAAACAGAUCAGCAUGAAGUUACUUUAGUAAUCUAGGUCAAAAAAAGACAUGAACUAAGAUGGAGGUAUCAAGGAGGGAUCUCCUCGGAGAGCAGUUUAAAAGGUAGAAUGGACAGAAAUCAAUGCCUAAUCAUCUGGAGGACAAGGAUUGAGCCAUGUACCGGGUCAGAGAGCAAAAGGAAAAGGGACAAAUUUGAGGAAGAAGGCAAAGAGUUUCGUUUGGCGACUAUGCUGUCUGAUAUCCAUGUGGAAAUUACCAGUUUACAGUUGUCUGGGGCACAGGACAGAGGGCUGGGCACAAAGAUGAUGACUCAGGAAAUGUCCACUCAGUAAAUAUUUGAGUGCCUGCUCUGUGCCAGGUGGUCCAGCUAUAUAGAUGGGGUUAGCUGGGGAGAUGACAGCAAUGAAAAGGGAUGGGAGUUCCCGUCAUGGUGCAGCGGAAACGAAUUCGACUAGGAACCAUGAGGUUGCGAGUUCGAUCCCUGGCCUCAGUGAGUUAAGGAUAUGGUGUUGCUGUGAGCUGUGGUGUAGGUCAUAGACACAGCUGGAUCUUAUGUUGCUGUGGCUGCGGCAUAGGCCUGUGGCUGUAGCUCCGAUUAGACCCCUAGCUGGGAACCUCCAUAUGCUGUGGGUGCGGCCCUGAAAAGCAAAUAAAUAAGUAAAUAAAUGAAUAAAUAAAUAUGAAAAGGGAUGAAGGCCCUGCAGGUGUCGUCACUGAAGGAGCAGGCAUGAGAAGAAGCAGCCUUCAAAGAGUGGCCUUGGAGUUUAGGAGCAGGUCCAGAGUGACUGCAUGGAUCUUAAGGGAGGAAAACGUUGAGAGUAAGAUUAGUCAUCAGAGCACAGUGCCUCAAAAAGGUCAAGUAGAUACAGUUUGAAAAGUGUUCCUUGGAUUUAAGAACCAGGAGGUCACAUUGGUAAGUAUGACAAAGUAGAGACUGGUCUUUGAAGAAACUCUGAAGCAAAGGAGGAGGAUUAGCUGGACACUAAGAAUGUUAUCAGCUGCUCAGCAAGUGAUAAUAACCAGCCUCACAGCUGCACCCCCCCCCCAUGCCGGAAGUGGCUUUUCUCCCCACCCCCAUCCCUCCUUUUUUAGGUGGAGGAACCAAAGCUUCUCUAGAUGUUUAGUAAUUUGCCUGCUGUGAGCACACUACAGUUAAGCAACAACUAGGAUGCAGACCCCACCUGGCUUUGCUCUUAACUCUGUACUAAAUGGUAUGUAGAGUAGGCUAGAGGUUAAAAGAUGGGAAGUACUGAGUAUUUGUCAUAGCUUAGGGGAGGAAGGAACUGGUAAAGAGGGAGAUGAAUGGAAAAUAGAGGGAAAAGGUGGUAAUUGAGUGAGCAAGGACUUUGAAGAAGCUGGAUAGAGAACCCAGGGGGGAGGGCUUGGUUUUGGAAGGGCAUAGCAUCACUUCUAAAUGCACAGUUCCUAAUUAAGUCAGAAUGUCUCCAUAAACAAGAAGAUUGUGGAGUUUAUGCUUUCAGUAGUUGUCAUGAUACAUCUUUUUCAUAUUCAUAUUCCUAUGCUUGAUUGCAUUUAUAGGAUAACAGAGUUCCAGUGGACUUCAGAGAGAUCUAGUCUGAUCAGCAAGUAAUUUGUCUUUAGGUGAGCUCAGGUAUUAUUCCAAAAUAACCCUGUCUUUGACGCUCUGUGGCUGCCAACCAGCCUCUCUCUCCUACCUUUUAAAAAUAAAUUUAUUAAGAUAUACUUUACAUAUCAUAAAAUUCAUCCAUUUAGGAGUUGUCUGUUGUGCUCAGCAGAAACAAAUCUGACUAGCAUCCAUGAAGAUGCAGGUUCGAUCACUGGCCUCGCUCAGUGGGUUAAGGAUCCAGCGUUGCCGUGAGCUGUGGUGUAGUCACAGAACAGCUUGUAUCUGGCAUUGCCGUGGCUGUGGUGUAGGCCAGUGGCUACAGCUCUGAUUUGACCCCUAGGCUGGGAACCUCCAUAUGCCGCAGGUGCGGCCCUAAAAAAAAAAAAUCAUCCGUUUAAAGUGUACAUUUCAGUGGUUUUUUCAGUAUAUUCGCAGAGUUGUGCAAUCUUUAGCACAAUUUAUGUCCAAGAAACCUAUAUGGCUUAGCCUAUCAGUCCUCUCGCUCCCUUCCUUCCCAGCCCGAGUCAGCCACUCAUCUACUUUUGUCUCUGUAUCUCCCUUUUAAAACUAAACUUGGGGAGUUCCUGUCGUGGUGCAGUGGUUAACGAAUCCGACUAGGAACCAUGAGGUUGCAGGUUCAAUCCCUGGCCUUGCUCAGUGGGUUAAGGAUCCGGGGUUGCCAUGAGCUGUGGUGUAGGUCGCAGAUGCGGCUCGGAUCCCACAUUGCUGUGGCUGUGGCAUAGGCCGGUGGCUACAGCUCCGAUUCAACCCCUAGUCUAGGAAUCUCCAUAUGCCGUGGGAGCGGCCCUAGAAAAAGGCAAAAAGACAAAAAAAAAAAAAAAAA
rnacentral:lncRNA from 1 species